AACGAACUAUGAUAUAACAAUGGCCAUUUUCCUGACUUGGUACAGGACAUUUUUAAAGAAAAAAAAUGGUGGGUUGAACCUGGUUUUGUGGCAUGCCAAACCUUGCACUUUAAUGGCAUUGUUAAAUAUAACAUUAAAAUGACAACAUAAUAAUACAGGACUUCAAUACAAAUAAAUAGGAGAACGUAUUAGGCAAAGAAAAACAUGAAUAAUAGAUAACAAAAGGCAUCAGGUUUAAAAUUCAAUACGUCAAAACCGCGCCUCGUUCACACAAGACUCACCAGUGACGCCCAGAUAUAAAAGUUCGAAAGUCAAAAAAAGGUACAAAGUUGUACAGCUCUGAGGAUCAAAAGUUGAAAAAGGUUGUGCCAAAUACGGCUAGGGUUUUCUGCUUGUGAUAAUAACAUCCUUAUUAUUUAGAACAAUUUAUGCUAUUGCAAACAGUAAAUUUUAUCAAAUGAAUAUAAAAGAUUUACAUGAUAAAACUGACGUCUUAACUAAUUACAGAAAACAAAAC
rnacentral:lncRNA from 1 species